UCUAUAGACAGUUGGCUUUAAACUCCUAUGUCAUGUUGUUAUAAAUCACAACAUAGAAUCUAUAGACAGUUGUUAUAAAUCACAACAUAGAAUCUAUAGACAGUUGUUAUAAAUCACAACAUAGAAUCUAUAGACAGUUGGCACUAAACCCCUAUGUCAUGUUGUUAUAAAUCACAACAUAGAAUCUAUAGACACACGGCAGGGUGAUAAAGACACUGGGCUGCUGAGGACAUCAGAUGCACCAGACACUGGACAUACAUCACAUUACUCUAGACUACUGUUCUGUCAGUUCAGACACAACGGAGCUCUAGUUAUUCCCGUAGCAGGGAUAGAAUGGAGACUAAAAGCUGCUACGUUUUGUUUGUAGGAGCAACCCCAGGUGAUCUGGGACAUAACAAGUUGAUAGAGCUGAAGAUUCUGUGUUGCAGUUUUCUUUAACCUUUUGGAUCAAUUUCUCUUCAAAUGAAUAUAUCAGCUUCGAUUUUCAUGUUUGUGAAAAAAACAAGUAUCAUAGUGUGUGAUCUGGUGAACUGACCUUUCACAUUCAAACUGACCCCUGACCCCUGACCCCUGUGAGAGAUGACAUCAUCCAAACUCGUCCUGUACUAGACGCAAAACACAGACCAGGUGUGAGAACACAGACAAACAAAGAGAUAGCUUUGUAGCUAACGACGACACCUCACCUGGAGCACUGGAGGCUGGUGGGAGCGGGAGAUAUCGGAGGACGGGCUCACAUUGUUAACAGCUGGAAUGGGAUAAAACGGAGCGGUAUGAAAACGCGUGACGACUGAGCCUGUCAAUUUAACUACAUCUCCACCCACCAGCCUCCACUGACCCGUAACCAAGGUAACCAACAUGUCCAUCUAUAGAAGACAAGUCAUCGGGGUGUGAGGUAAAGCUACAAUACAAAACCAAUGAGAAUAACAUCACUAGCUAACUAAAGAUACAUGUAACAGUGAUUAUGCCAGUCACUUCUGAGUGGUCAGUCGGGCUUGAUGUUUCCAUAUAGUGCCAUGUUGUGAAUACAUUUAUAAUUACAUGUUAAUGGAGUAAAUUGAAAACCUGUAUUUAAAAUUAAAAAAAAAAAACUGUUCCAAAAUAUUACAGAUGAGUAGUUGUGUUAAAGCUAAGGGCAUAUUUGUUCUCAAAUGGAUUCUACCGGGUCAGAGAAAGAAGGAACGAGCAAAGAUAACUCUGUCCUAUAUAUUACAUGUCUAUUUUUCAUAUAACAUAAUAAAUACAACUUGGAAUUAUCAGCAGCUUACUCCUGGUGACGAUUCUGUUUUUCUGAUCAACUGUCUCAUCUCUGUCCGCCAUUUUAUGUCCUUAAGCUCUUUAUCAUCGUAAUAUAUAGUUAUUGUCUUAUACAGAACAUCUGCUAUUAUCAACAUCCUGUAAAGACACAGGAAGAGGACUUCUGAAGGGAAGUAGAGACAUGACCUUGUUAUUUCUAGCAGCUUGAAGAGGAGCGAGGGAGAGAGAGAGGCGUGAGGGAGAGAGAGGCGCGAGGGAGAGAGAGGCUGGUGGGAGAGAGAGAGGCUGGUGGGAGAGAGAGGCGCGAGGGAGAGAGAGAGGCUGGUGGGAGAGAGAGGCGCGAGUGAGAGAGAGGCACGAGGGAGAGAGAGGCGCGAGGGAGAGAGAGGCGCGAGGGAGAGAGAGGCUGGUGGGAGAGAGAGGCGCGAGGGAGAGAGAGGCGCGAGGGAGAGAGAGGCUGGUGGGAGAGAGAGGCGUGAGGGAGAGAGAGGCGCGAGGGAGAGAGAGGCGUGAGGGAGAGAGAGGCGCGAGGAGAGAGAUGCUGGUGGGAGAGAGAGGCGCGAGGGAGAGAGAGGCGCGAGUGAGAGAGAGGCACGAGGGAGAGAGAGGCGCGAGAGAGAGAGAGAGGCGCGAGGGAGAGAGAGGCGCGCGAGAGAGAGAGGCGCGAGGGAGAGAGAGGCGCGCGAGAGAGAGAGGCGUGAGGGAGAGAGAGGCGCGGGGGAGAGAGAGGCUGGUGGGAGAGAGAGGCGCGAGGGAGAGAGAGGCGCGAGGGAGAGAGAGGCGCGAGUGAGAGAGAGGCACGAGGGAGAGAGAGGCGCGAGAGAGAGAGAGAGGCGCGAGGGAGAGAGGCGCGCGAGAGAGAGAGGCGCGAGGGAUAGAGACAGAGGCUAUAAACGGUGCUCCUAGAAAUAGAACUCGAGGACUCUCACAGCGUUUGAUGACUCACCAGGUUAAUGGUUUCUCUAGGCUGUGUGUGACUCUCUCUGUCUCAUUCCCAACCUAUGCGACUGCAGAUAGGAUGGGAGAGGAGGGGCUGCUGCAAACUGUCUCUUAUGGUAAUCAAUCCACGAGGAUUCAAAAGCACAUUUUAGACAUUUUAUUUUUCAGGUGUUGGGUCAUGUAACUCAUUACACAGACCUUCCAUCCAUACCAUCAUAUAAUAACUCAUGUCGUGUCUUUGGCUAUGCCGGAUUAAGUGAUAUGACAUGCUAUUCUAUCAAAUAAUGUCUCUGUAAUUAAUAUUACCUGAUUGAGCUAAUCAUGUAAAUGUCAUUAACUAGAGAGUCGGGGCACCACGAAAUAAUAUUUAUAGAGCUGUUAUCUUCCGAAUAAACUCUUAAAGACCUGGUACUCUUUUACCUCAAUAGCAGUCAAUAUUUAAUCGUCACCUUAUUCAGUCUCAUCUGAAAGUUGUAAAUUCUUGGUUAUCUUCACGAAACAAGUUGAAUCAGC
ensembl:lncRNA